rnacentral:tRNA from 2 species
GUCCCCAUAGUUCAACGGAUAGAACAAGAGACUCCUAAGCUCUAGAUCCAAGUUCGAUUCUUGGUGGGGACACAA